UACAUAGGGGCAAGCGUUAUCCGGAAUUAUUGGGCGUAAAGGGUGCGUAGGCGGCGCUUUAAGUUUAAAGUAUAAGCUCAUGGCUCAACCAUGGGAGGCUUUAAAAACUGGGGUGCUAGAGUGCAGUAGAGGCAAGUGGAAUUCCAUGUGUAGCGGUAAAAUGCGUAAAUAUAUGGAGGAACACCAGUGGCGAAGGCGGCUUGCUGGGCUGUGACUGACGCUGAGGCACGAAGGCGUGGGGAGCGAACGGGAUUAGAUACCCCCGUAGUCCCUGA
rnacentral:rRNA from 1 species